rnacentral:rRNA from 1 species
AUUGAACGCUGGCGGCAUGCCUUACACAUGCAAGUCGAACGGCAGCACGGGAGCAAUCCUGGUGGCGAGUGGCGAACGGGUGAGUAAUGCAUCGGAACGUACCCUGGAGUGGGGGAUAACGCCGCGAAAGCGGCGCUAAUACCGCAUAUGCUCUGAGGAGGAAAGUGGGGGACCGCAAGGCCUCACGCUCUGGGAGCGGCCGAUGUCCGAUUAGCUAGUUGGUGGGGUAAAGGCCUACCAAGGCGACGAUCGGUAGCUGGUCUGAGAGGAUGAUCAGCCACACUGGGACUGAGACACGGCCCAGACUCCUACGGGAGGCAGCAGUGGGGAAUUUUGGACAAUGGGGGCAACCCUGAUCCAGCCAUGCCGCGUGAGUGAAGAAGGCCU